rnacentral:tRNA from 2 species
AGGAGUGUAGCUCAGUUGGUAGAGCAUCGGUCUCCAAAACCGAGUGUCGGGGGUUCGAGUCCCUCCUCUCCUG